ensembl:lncRNA
GCAUGUAUCACCACAUUGGGUUUUUGCACUUCUGGUAACCGAAGCUAGGGCUUCACGGAUGCUGGGAAGGCACCCUCCAAACUGAGCUCCAUCCCCAGCCCUUUUAAUGAGUGUCUGCUUUGCAAGCAUCUUUCAGUGUCGAGCCAGGAAGCCUUAUGAGGGAACAGAGGAAGGAAAGGAGCCAACCCCACAAAAUUAACACUUCUGUGUAACGACUAAGAGUCACUGGGCAGGGCUGGUGAGAGGGCUCAGUGGGCAAAGGUACUUGCUGCCAGGGCUGAUGACCUCAGUUUGAUCCCCAGAAUCACGUGGUUGGUACAAGGAGAGAACAGACUCCUAAAAGUUGUCUUCUGACCACCACAUACGUUCUGUGGCAUGCACCUGUGCACACGUGUGCACACACACACACACAAAUAAAUACAUGUUUUCCCAAUUACUUAAAAAAAUAAUUGUAGCCAGGCAAGGUGGCGUGUGGCUAUAAUCCCAGAACUCAGGAACUAAAGGCAAGAGGAUACAAGCUUGCAGCCAACUGAACUAAACAAAGAAAAAGGGUAGAGAAAAACUAGGCACUGUGGUGUACAUCUUUAAUUCUGGUAUAGGAGGAAGAGGCAGGCAGAUUUCUGUGAUUCCAGAACAGCCAGAACUAUAUUGUAUGACCCUGUUAAAAAAAAAAAAAAAAAAAAAAAAAAAAAAAAAAAAAAAAAAGAAGACAAAGAGGGAAAGACCCAGACAGACAGAAAGCCACAAUUAGUUAAAUGUAGAAAACAACUGAUUAUGGGAUGGCCAGCCCCAACAGAUACAAUUACAACACACAACUCCUGCACAUAAGGCUCAGGCAAUGUCUUGGGAGAAAGCAGAAGGACUGUGAUAGUCAAAGGACCAGGAAAUCUGCUGUGAGAUUGUGUCUUCUAGCUGUGACAUGAAGCUAUACCUGAGGCCUCAACAGCAUGGCUGCCUAAACAAGACCAGAACAAUUUCUACACCAGCUGACAUCCUAAAGUAGAUGGAGAAAUCUCAGAGGCCGAAAGCCCUAGAUGAAGAGCCACAGCCAACUAACAACUUGGGAGAGAGGGAGAACUAGUCUCCAGGGACGAUCCCCUGAUUGGUUAUCCAGUAGCAGCAAGUGGUCAGCCUUGGAUACACAGGCAUGCAGCCACACUGCCCAAACUCCAAAGGUUGGAUUUAUAUGUUCAUUCAUUUAUAUGGGUAUGUAACAACAAUGGUGAAAGAGAAGCCCCUAUGAAUUUUGGAGAGAGUAGGGGGAGAGGAUACUUGGGAGGAGAGAGAAAUUAUGUAAUUAUAUUUUAAUCAAAUUUUAAGAGAAAGAGAGGGUUGGAGAUGGGGUAAGAGGAAGGGAAGAGGAAAAAAGAAGAAAGGAAGAGAAUGAACCAUGAGGGGAUAACUGUACACAUUUAUUAGGGUUUUGUUGUUGUUGUUAUUGUUGUUGUUGUUGUUUUGUUUUGUUUUGUUUUUUGUUUUGUUCUGUUUCUGGAAGCAGAAUCUCACUAUGCAACUCUGGCUAGCCAGGAUCUCACUAUGUAGACCAGGCUGACCUUCAACUCACAGAAAUCUACUUGCCUUUUUCUCCUGAGUGCUGGGAUUAAAGCUUUGGAUCCUACCCUGGCACUCACUCUGGAGACCAGGCUGGCCUCGAACUCACAGAGAUCCGCCUGCCUCUGCCUCCCGAGUGCUGGGAUUAAAGGCAUGCGCCACCAAUCCCGGCCCUCACUAUGUCUAUUUAUAGAUUACUUUUUAUAUUUUUCUUUCUUUUAAUUCUUUCUAAUCUACUCUAAUUCCUGAUUUCUGGUCAAAGGAAUGGAAUAGAGAGCUGGAGAGACGAAUCAGCAGUUAACAGCACCGGCUGCACUUUCAGAGAACAAGAGUUUGCUCCCAGCACCUGACGGCAUGUAACACAGCUCCGGAUUGAGGGAACAAAUAUUAAAAUUAAUAAAAGUUUAAAAAUUUAGGCCCUGAAAAGGGAGCGUGUAAUGGAAAAGGAAAAAUUUAACUCUUUAAAUCAGGAGUGCCAUGGCUGGCGCCUGAUCCCCUGCUCUCAGACAAGGAGAGGUAACUGUUCACCACUCUUGUUAACAUUCCUUUGCUAAUUGCUGGUCAAAAGAUCCCCCAGCCCAGGGGAUAACUGACAGACCUUGUGACCCUGUAACCCUGCAAGCCCAUGCCCUGUCUUAUCUCAGUCAAACGUAUCUCCCUUAAAAUGUAUAGUUACUAACUCUGUACUUGGUAUGACCUUAAUUAACCAUGGAAACUGUAAUUUGUGGCCUUCAACCUUACGGUCUGCCACUUUAAAAGCUUCUCUUUUUGGCUGGGUGGCAUCUCAUUUGCCCGCCAUGCAGUGAGAUCCUAGCUGGCCAGCUUGAAAUAAAAAGAAACCUUUUGCUUUUGCAGCAGAGUGUCGACUCCUUGGGUUAGUCUCUGGGCUCCGAGAACCUGACACAACACGGGUCAUCUUUCCUUUUCUGGUAUUUCUAUAGGCACAUGUACA